CAAAAAACACCCCGCAAAAAACCGCUCCUAUCGAUCCGUCGAGGACACAGAGCCGCCGAUCCGCUCCUCCCCGAUGCCGAUCCGGGCAGACGCGCCCGUCGUGGAUCACGAGCGCCCGUCGCGGAUCAGGAUCCUCAGGACGCCGCCGCCGCCGCGGAUCCACUGCCACGCACAGCUCGGGCCCGAGCCGCGAUGGGCUCGGCUAUGGCCGCUGCCGCGUGCGCCCUUCGUCUCCAGGCUCGGCGAGCCCCACCGCCAGCCACCCCCAACCCACAUCGGCGUCAAGCUAUCUCCUUGGUGCUGUUGUCCUCGAUAGGCUAAUGACUCGAGGCAUGCUGCUAGCACAAUUACAGAAGGCCAUACAGUCAGCGGCAAAGUGCUCGCCGUUGCUAAUGAUUGACUGCUGAGGAUCUCCAUUCGGGGAUUUAGCUACCUGCUCAAAUAAGAUGGUCAAUAGCUGUUCCUGUGAUCCAUUCUAUGGAUGAAGAAGGAGAAGACGAGGGAACACAAUAAUUUCUGUGUCAUAUUAUUUGUUUCUGAUGUGGCUACUCUGGAAUACAAUUUAUGGGCGAGAGAUCAGACUUUCAGUAGGACCUUAUGCUCUUUUAACUGAAAAACUGGGAGCACUAGCAGUUCUUCACAAGGAAAGUGGAUUGGACAAUGCCGCUAGCUCGGAUGGCGCCCCGUAUGGAUGUCGAUCGUGGGCGACGUGAGGAGGGACAAGGUAGAGAAAGGGGGUCAGGUUGGCGCCGCUGUAGAGGUGAGCAAGGGGGCCGGGGUUGCGUCGCCGCCGAGAUGCACGAGGGGAUCGGAGCUGCGCCAAGCAGAUUCAUCAGAGCACUUCGCUCUUGCUGCCUUUGGCCUGAUGCUUAGAUGGAUUGAUGCAUUUGUCGGGUCAGGGAUCCUUCAGUUUUGUUGGAUCAGGAAGUAAGAGCACCGGGACUUCAAGGACGAUGGAGAUUGUCGAAGGCUAAGUUGCAGAGUGCAUGGGCAGCAGUACCAGAGCAAGAACCUCGCGCGUGACGGAGCUGCUGUGGUAGAGAAGCAAAACUCAACGACUAACUCUACAAGCUCUGGUCGCUUUCUUAAACAUCACUAACGUAAUCAUAUCUCACUCCAUUAUGCAAAUCUUAUUUCUGUUUUUUUGAUUCCAUUUCAGUACUUGUACCUUUUUACAAUGCAUUUAGUGCAUAUGAAUGAAGUAUAUUGAUUUAUCUUCUACCUAUGGUUUUCUUUGCUUUAUUGGUGCUCAACGUUUUUGACAUGUUGGCAUGCAUAUUACUAAAUUUGGUCAAGCAACCCGCCAACAGAUACAAAGAAGGGUUAUAUGUCUUCUGAUCAUCUUGAUGGCAUAUAUGAGGACCUGCAAUACUGAACCUGGAAGUUAGUCAUUGAGGCAAUGGUCAUGGUAGUGAUAUCUACUGCCAGAACAUAAACGUUUGGCCCUCCUUGUUGCCACGAAGGAUUAUGAUCAACUGGACUUGCAGAACUAGUUAAUGGCAUGAUGCUGGCAGUAGUAAUGGAGGGUUGUGAUUUCUGGAUGGAAUAGGACGGAUUGGCUUCCUCUUCUCAUGAAACACACUGACACAAAGUUUCUGGUUUCUGACGUACAAGGAUUAUGUACUAUGAACAAAUAUUGCAAUGUUCAUUAGUAGUACUGUUUGUUGAAGCGAUGCCUCUGCCACAGUCCGUUAUUGUUGUUAUCUUCUUGGGAAUACUUGAGAAGGCGCGACGAGGAAGGUGGGGACACGCCAUGGCAGAGGCCAGUGCAGAACCUACAUGUAAGCCGUGGGGUCAGGGUAUUCUUGCUGGCACAACCGCUGGUAGAGGCGCGUGGUUGACAGGAGGAGCCGCGGAGGCAUGACGGUGGACAUGUGGAUGUUAUCGUGGCAUUGACACAUUUCGCUCUACCAACACUGCAUACAAACGUGACUGAAUGUUAUCGUGGCUUAGAUGCCCUAUCAAAUUCUUGCUUGACUUCUUGGUUUUGUAUGCUUGGAUGUAUGUUUCAGUUCCUACAUGGUAUUUCUCAUGUGGAGUUGAAACCACAUUUGGUUGGUCCAAUAGCAAAUAAUCAUAUGUUUCACUCUGAAA